CAGCACUGGAUGUCACUGCACUCCAAGAAGGGCUGGCAGAGGUGUGCAAGGACUAGGAAAGAUUCCAGGACACAUCAGAGUGUCACAUAAGGUUAGUUGUUGGGACAACAGCCCUCAAGUAAAACUUCAAGUGAGACUACAGAAUUCUGAAUAUUUUCUAAUGGCAUUUAUCUCCAGGAGAAAGAAAACUGCUAUGGUUGAUGGAAAGACCAAAUAGAAUUAGAUUCGACGUCAGUAACUUUGCAUGGCACUGAAAUGUCUUACAGAAUUAAUUCCAAGUUUACAGAAUGGAGGUCUCAGUCCCAUUUGAUUUAGAAAUUUUACCAUUUAUAGAUUAGACUAUAGUGAUUAUUCAGGUGUAAUGAACAGAACAGGAGGAAGCCAAAAUCAAUCUUUCUAACAAGAUUCACUAUGUGGCUUCCAAGCUGUUGUUUUUCAUCAACUAGAUGUUUGGGUUCCCCCCACCACCCCAAUGAAUAAUUCGCCAUUUUUUGGUUUAAACUAUUCUCUCUCCUGUUCAGGGUUCUGAUCCCUGAAAUUUUGUUUUUCACUCUUUAUUUGCCAUUACCAAGACUGCUCACCUAAAAUGAACCCUCUAACACAAAUGCCUAAAUACUUUUUCCAACAUCCAGAAGCUUCUCUUCUUUAGGAAGGCUGCAAAGCAAAGUAUUAAAAAUAAAAACUGGGCAUUCCCAUUGUGGAUCAGUGGAUUAAGGACCCGAUGUUGUCUCUGGGAGGAUACAGAUUCGAUCCUUGGCCUUGCUCAGUAGGAUGUAGAAUAGGUAACAGAUGCAUCUCAAAUCCCGUGUUGCUGUUGCUAUGGUGUAGACCCUCAGCUGCAUCUCUGAUUCCACCCCUAACCCAAGAACUUCCAUAUGCUGCUUGUGUGGCUAUUAAAAAAAAUGAAAUUAAAUUGAAAAAUAAAAACUAACAACAACAAAAACUGACCUUAGAAUCAGCGUCCCUGGUUCUGGUUCUCGCUGCUGUAUGAUAUGACUUUGUGCAAAACACUUGAUCUUCCAGAGCCACGAUUUUUUUCAUUUAUAAAAGGAAGGUAAUUUUUAAAAAUCUAAGCAAUAGUGUUUUAUGAAGAAUAAUUGCGAUAGUGCAUAUUUUCAUUUCACAGAAAGCUUGGCACGUAUUGGACUUAAUAAAUAGUAGUCAUCGUCUUUUUAAAUCAUAGUGCCACUCCAUGAUUUUUCUGGAUAGUGUAAUAAUAUUCACAUUUUUUGAGCAUAUACAUUGGACUAGGCACUCCUCUGGAAAUUUUACAUACAUAAUCUCAUUAUUUUAUUUUAUUUUAUUAUUUUUUUAUGGCUGCACCUGUGGCAUAUGGAAAUUCCCAGGCUAGGGGUCAAAUCAGAGCUGCAGCUGUGGCCUACCCCAUAGCUGUGGCAACACUAGAUCUGAACCACAUCUGCAAAUUUCACCACAGCUUGUGGCAAUGCCAGAUCCUUGAUUCACUGAGCAAGGCCAGGCAUGGAACCCACAUACUCACAGAGACAAAAAGUCCUUAUUUACCCACUGAGCCUCAAAGGAACUCCCUCAUGUCAUUAUUUUAAACUCCUUCAAGAUUGAUCUUCUUUUUACCAGUUUUGCAAAUGAAGUGGUUUAGUGCAGUUUUAAAAGUAUUUUUCAGAAUCAGACAGACCUGGGUUCCCUUAUAUAGAUUCUAAAAUGUAUAAGCUAUGAGACCUUGGGUAAGUUGCUUAAUCCCUCUGGCUCUUAGUCUCCCCAUUUGAGAAAGCACAGUUUUAUUUGGACUUUGCAGAAACUGAAUGUGACGUGAUAUGUAAAUUGCAUAGCACAGCUCCUAGUGUGUAAUAAACAUCAACAAAUCUUAGCCAUUUUUUAAAAUUUUCACAAGAAAAUUGAGUCUCGGAGAGAAUAUUUGCCCAAGGUAGCACAGCCUAUAAAUGUGGAAGCCAAGAUCCAAGAGCAGGUACAAAACCAAAAUCUGUGUUCUUUCCAGCAUUUUUCUAGCUGAGGUCAGUUAAUUUGACCCCUGUCAUUCUAAACAUUGAAAAGCUUUUCUACUUGCCUUUACUGCUGGACAUAAGUUGGCUAGUGGAUGGUGGUCAUUCAGCUCCCAUAUUCACUUAAUUUUUCAGCUGCCUGUUCUUCUCCUAAGGGUGGUUACCUAUACCUAAUCAAGUCAUCUAUAUUAACUCCAGACCUUUGCAAUAAGAAGCUGGAUAAGAGAUAAGGAAUGCUCCAGCCAUGGACAUAAAUGCAUAAGGACAAGAAUUGGCUGACCUCACAGGAAACAGUAUAUAUUUCUUUUUUUUUUCUUUUUUUGCUUUUUGGGGCCACACUUGUGACAGAAGUUCAGAAUCUCAAUAAAAGCAAUAUAACCAUGCUGUGAGAAAUAAGAGCUCUUCUGUGUAUUAUCUCCCAAACAGACCUUUCCACCUGGCAUUGUUUUUACACAGUAAUUGAAAUAAAGGCAGAUCUAUGUGGAACAUGUUGGUAUUAUCAUUAGUUAUUUAUUUCAAAUAUGUAUAUCUGUAAGACAGGUUAGGUGAUAAAGAACAAGCUAUUUUCAAAUGUGAACUUGGGGUUAAAACUACUUAUCCUAAUACAAUUAGAAGGACAGCCUUGUAAUCAAUAAACCAGCCACCUGUAGAAGGAACUACUUGCACCAAGUGAUCAUUUGUAGUCACUGGAGGUCAACUGGAAGAUGUUGCUUAUUAUUUAAGAAAUCUACAGCCCACUGUACCUCAAUUGAAGAAUAAUACCAUAUUAACAGAUGAAGAGUUAGGCUAAUCUAGGUAUCAUGCUAGAAUGUUUAUCCAUUUUUAUUAAAUUUCCGCUGAAAUUUGGGAAGAGCUCUACUUCACUUGUGGGGAAAUUGAAGUACAAGAAAAUUACAUAUUAUGCCCAAGAACAAAAUUUGAAUCAAGUUCUGAUUCCAAAUUCCAUAAACUUUCCAUAGAAAAGCAAGAAUUUGAGUGUCUCUAAAACCAUCCAGAGCAACGUACAGUCUCCGUGGUGGAUUCUUGUUCCCUUAGAAGGUAAUUCUCUCUUGCAAAAUUAGUUUUCAAGCUCACAUCGCUUGGAAAUCACUGGCCGGCAGGGCUCUCAAUUGCUCAGAUUCCCUGAGCCAUCAAGCAAACUUCUACUUUAACAUCCUCGGUGAGCUGCCCCCCACCCCCACAAAAAUGACACCAAUCCCCUCGGCACCUUUGCUUUCAUGGUUAAUUAGUACACGAUCACUCUGAUUAUACACCACCAUCAUGCUAACUUAACACCCAGGGGUCAUUCUCAGACUCUGUGAGUUCUCCUGCAAAUGGAACUUCCAUGUCUAUGAGAGCUUCACUAUGGCAGCCUUUUCAUUGCUCCACAGCCAAUGCCAGUGCUGGUAACAGAGCAACCCACCCAAUCUGCCUAGGCCCUUCUUUAUGAAUUACACCUAGCUGGUUAGUGUAAGGCAGAACCCCUAAUGCUUAAGCAACUCUUAGACUUUCAACAACUCCAUAAAGAAGUCAACCAAUAUUUACCAAGUAUCUGUGGGCCCAGACACAAUACUUUAACCAAACGGCUAUUUAGACUCUAAUUCAAAGUGUGAAUGUUGGAGUUCCCCUUGUGGUUCAGCAUGUUAGGAACCUGACUAGUAUCUCUGAGGAUGUGGAUUCAAUCCCAGGCCUUGCUCACUGGGUUAAGGAUCCAGUGUUGCUACAAGCUGUGGUGUAGGUUGCAGAUGUCGCUGGGAUCCCACGUUGCCAUGCCUGUGGUGUAGGCCUGCAGCUGCAGCUCUGAUUCGACCCCUAGACUGGAAACUUCCAUAUGCCAUGGCAUGGUGGUAAAAGAAAAAAAAAAAGAAUGAAUGUCUGCCCUUGUGGAAACCACAGUCUAGUAGAUGAGACAUAACUUCUCACCCCAAGAUACCAACUAUCUAAAGGAACCCAGGGAGACCAGUCAAGCUGUAGAACAGGGCAGAAGGCUGUCCAUCACAGUACUUCCAAUACAGGCUAUGGCUGCCACAGGAGCAAUUGUAAAACCCAGUGUCAGGGGAUGGAGGACACCACCCUGCUACUGCCUGGUGAAGGAAGAAGUCUGGGCUCACUGCAGGCUCCGUGGACACCCCCAGGGGAGAGGGACCCUAGUAGCUGCUGGCUGGGAGUGAUUCUACCCACCCGCCACAAGCCUGGGCUGAUACCACCCUGGCACUAUGAAGUCCUGAGGCCUGAGGCCUUAGCCAGGCUGCCUUCUCUCUAUCCUUCAGCAUCUUCUCAUGUUCAUUUUGUAGAUAAUGCCCAGUGUUUUCAGUUGACUUAGCAGGAAGAAUGGAAAAAAUACCACUUCUACACCUCCUAUGUGACAUUGUGUGUCAGUCCAGAAGCCAGCCUGUCCCCUGGAUUUUAACCCCUUGGCCAGGGUUAAAAGUUGUGUCAAUUUCACCUGACCUUGGCUAUUUCCUUCCCCUACACCUAUCUGGGCCUGUGGUCUCCCAGCCUAACCACAGCCAUAACUACCUUGUUCCUGGCAAGGCAGACAGGCUGGGAGCUGGGUGAAAAAACACUUAUUCAUCUCAGCAUUGAAUUCUGUUCUCUCCAACGACCAGAAUAAUAAGCCAUAUGCUGCUUUAUAUUCCUGGCUAAUAACCAGCAAGGAGGAAAUGAGCACAUUUAUGAAUUAUCCUGUUGAUGUUCUUCAGUGUGCAAAUCCCAGUGUUAUUUUAAGUAAUAUCCCUGCCAAAGUAAUCAUUUCCCACAACUAAUGUUUCAUUUUGAAAAUAACCUCAGAGAUGAUCUUCCUUAUGUUACAUGAACAUCUUUACAUUGAAAUCCUCAAAGUUUAAUUGUGCAAUGUCCAGCGGCUUGCGAGAACUGGUACAGCGUGGGCCCAGCUAAAAAACGCACUUGCUCACCAGUAUGCUGUGAAAACAGAAAAGCAGUUAUGAUUAGCCAGGGGUUCCUGUUGUGGCUCAGUGGGUUACAAACCCAACUAGUAUCCAUAAGGAUUCAGGUUCCAUCCCUGGCCUUGCUCAGUGGGUUAAGAAUACAGUGUUGCCACCAUGAGCUGUGGUGUAGGUCACAGAUGCUGCUCGGAUCCCGUGUUGCUAUUGCUGUGGCAUAGGCCAGAAAUCCCUAGCCCGAGAACUUCCAUAUGCUGCAGGCAUGGCC
rnacentral:lncRNA from 1 species